UUAAAUUGAAGAGUUUGAUCAUGGCUCAGAUUGAACGCUGGCGGCAGGCCUAACACAUGCAAGUCGAACGGUAACAGGAAGCAGCUUGCUGCUUCGCUGACGAGUGGCGGACGGGUGAGUAAUGUCUGGGAAACUGCCUGAUGGAGGGGGAUAACUACUGGAAACGGUAGCUAAUACCGCAUAACGUCGCAAGACCAAAGAGGGGGACCUU
rnacentral:rRNA from 1 species